CAUCAAAUUAUCUUCUACAACUGCGUGGAAAAUUAAAGCCCCUGUUCCGCAGGAAUUUUCAUAAAUUCUGACUAUAUAAGAACAAGAAAAAAAAACCUCCUCAAAACCCAACGAAAAGGCAUCGCUGAGCAGCGGGACCGGGAAGCAGAGUGAAAGCCCCCAGCCCUGCACCCGCAGCAAUAAUUCCAGCUUUGUUCGUGGGCUUUUACUCGCAAAUAUCACGUUAAAGCCGGACUCCGCAACUCGCUCCCCUGCCGAGCCCCGGCCUUCCCCGCUCGCCAGCGGCCGACGCCGGCCCACAGAAAAACGCCCGUGGCGUUCGGGGAGCCGGGGCACCAGGCUGCCGGCACGGAGGACAGCUGCCUAGCUUCGGCAGCGGCACGGAGACCGGCCCUCGGGCGGCCUCACUGCCGGUUGUCCGCGGAGCCUCCCACAACAGGGCGCUCCCCAAGCUGGCUCUGCAAGUCCGCGGCUCCGACCGUGCCCCCGGUGGCGGCGCCCGCCGCCCGGUGCUUCCACGUCGCCGGGCUCUCCCCCGGGCGCCGACGAGCGGGCAGUCCCAGGACCGGGCCGAUUUGGCACGGUAGCCCUAGCGGAACGCCCCCGGCCCGGGACGAGCCGCCGCCGCCGGCGCACGACGGUGACUGAUCCAGCCCGCGCUCCCCCCUCGGAAGGAUGGAUGUGAACGAGCUACUAAGUGUAGUUACUAAUAACAAUAACAAUAAAUUAUCGGACUGUUGCUCAGUAA